CUUCAGCGAUCCCACCCACAGCGGCCGAUCCGCGUCCCGGUCACGUCCGUAGGUGGCCAACAGCGCCUGUGCCUC
rnacentral:antisense_RNA from 1 species